UCGAGGAUCUUCGGCAAUGGGCGCAAGCCUGACCGAGCGACGCCGCGUGCGGGAUGAAGGCCUUCGGGUUGUAAACCGCUGUCGUGGGGGAGGAAAGCGCAAGCUUGACCUAUCCCAGGAGGAAGCACGGGCUAAGUUCGUGCCAGCAGCCGCGGUAAGACGAACCGUGCAAACGUUGUUCGGAAUCACUGGGCUUAAAGGGCGCGUAGGCGGCUCAGCAAGUCGGGGGUGAAAUCUUUCGGCUCAACCGGAAAAGUGCCUUCGAUACUGCUGAGCUCGAGGAAGAUAGGGGUCACGGGAACGACCAGUGGAGCGGUGAAAUGCGUUGAGAUUGGUAGGAACGCCGGUGGCGAAAGCGCGUGACUGGAUCUCUGCUGACGCUGAGGCGCGAAAGCCAGGGGGAGCGAACGGGAUUAGAUACCCCGGUAGUCCUGGCCCUAAACGAUGGGUACCGGAUUGUGGACUUGACAUGGGUUCACAGUCGAGGCAAAAGUGUUAAGUA
rnacentral:rRNA from 1 species